AACCUGCCUUGGAGUGGGGAAUAACAGCUAGAAAUAGCUGCUAAUACCGCAUGAUGCAGUGAAGUCGCAUGGCUUUGCUGCCAAAGAUUUAUCGCUCUGAGAUGGCCUCGCGUCUGAUUAGAUAGUUGGCGGGGUAACGGCCCACCAAGUCGACGAUCAGUAGCCGGACUGAGAGGUUGGCCGGCCACAUUGGGACUGAGACACGGCCCAGACUCCUACGGAAGGCAGCAG
rnacentral:rRNA from 1 species